ACCUGCAAACAAACAGGAUUUGUUCACCUAACAAAUACACAAUUUUUACAUGUUAUAUUUUAAAAAAUACUCACUUAUUCUAAAUUAUAUGACCAAGACGAGGAAGUUACUCACCUCGUGCAGUAACAGAGGUUCAAGAUGUGUCCCCCUGUGGGUGCUCCACUUUAGGUGUCAUUGCGCCCCUGCGCUCAUAGCCAGAGAUUUGUGGUACCAGUGCCCCCGUUGGGGUGUACAAGCACAGUCUCCGUCUCACGCUGCUUCAGGUGGUUAACUGGUGCUGUGCGACCAACCCCCAUAUGCCCCCGUUCCUUCUCCACUGCAGAGUCUGUAUAUGAUAGAACUCCAAAGCAGAGGGGAGGAGGGCGGGCAGUGGAGCACCCACAGGGACACACAUCUCAAAGAACCUGUUACCGCACAAGGUGAGUAACUUCCUCUUCUUCUUCUUCUAGUGGUGUCCCUGUGAGUGCUUCACUUUAGGUGACUUCAGAGCAGUGCCCUCCGGUGGAAGGAGGGGGCUUCGGAGUUGAAGUCGUAGCAGAUGAAAACAAUGUGUGACCAAAGAGGGCAUCAGAAGAUGCGUGUUGCAACGCAUAGCGUUGUGUAAAAGCGUGCGGGGAGAUCCAGGUUGUGGUCCUAAGAUUUCCGCAAUAGGGAUGUUGUUGAGAAAUGCUACAGAGGUUGAAAGACUCCUCGUAGAACGCAUACGGAUCCCAGUAGGGGGUUGUUAUUUAUACUGGAGAUAAAGAGUAAGAUGCAGUCUGAUAUCCAUUUGAAUAGGCGUUGUUGGAAAUGGUGUGCUCUUUACAGCAUUCGGUGAUAGAAAUGAAUAAUUUUGGAGAUUUGCGAAAAGGUUUUAUUCUAUCAACAUAAAAGGCGAGAGCCCUGCAGACGUCCAAGUAGUGUACUCUGGAUUGUCUACUGUCUGUAAGUGGUUUUGGAAAAAAUGUAGGUAAGUAUAUAGGCUGGUUAAGGUGAAACGAUGAAGCCACCUUAGGCAAAAGCUUAGGAUGGGGUCUGAAGAUACUUUAUCUUUAAAAAAGAUCAUAUAGGGUGGAUCCCUAAUGAGAGCAGCUAGUUCUCCUAUCUGCCUGGCCGAUGUAAUGACCACUAGAAAUGCAACCUUCACAGAGAGGUGUAGUAAGGAGCUUGUAGCUAAAGGCUCAAAAGGGGGCUCGGUGAAGGCAUGGAGGACUAGGCUGAGGUCCCAUGGUGGGGUGGGUUUUCUCACUUCCAGAUGGGAGCUGGAGAGACCAUUUAAGAGGGGUUUAGUGAUGGGAUGCAUGAAAAUAGAGAAUUUGUUGACUUUAUGAUGAAAUGUCAUGAUGGCCAACAGGUGUACAUGGGUGGAACUCAUGGAAAGUCCCGGUUAAGUUCCAGUAGGUAGUCUAAAAUAAGAGGUAAGGAGGCUGACACAGGUGCCAUCUGUUUGCGUUGGUACCAUGAUUCGAAUAGUUUCCACUUAUGUCUGUAGGAGUGUUGGGUAGUUGCCUACGGCUGUUUAAUAAUAUGUUUUGAACUUCUGUGAACAUGUCAUUUCAGAUCCUGAGAUUCAUGUAGUAACCAGACUUUGAGGUUCUGGAUGGAGGAUGCUCUCUGCAUCCUGCAACAGAAGUCGAGGCAGAAGCAGGAGCAUACGGGGGGACAGACCAACAUGUGGAGAAGAUGGUGCCAGCAUUGAGAGAGAUGGGAUUCUCGAGCCCUCGACCAAGGCUUCAAAUCUGUUGUCUAGCAGUUGAUGGCUGAGAGUUAGUAGUCGAGGAAGCGGACUGUCUUCUCCUCGAAGUUUUCUGUUUCCACCCCUGUUGGUCGUAAUACCUAUUCCACUGAGUAUACUGAGGGGGUUGGAACUGUUGAGGAGUUUGGUAAGUGGUCUGCCAUUUCUGGGCAUCCACACACCUAGGAACAAGACACUGCAAGGUGGCCCUUGGGUCUUUCAGGGUAUGCAAUGUCCAUUCUGUCCACAAAGAGUAUGGCACCUUCGAAGGUAAGUCUUCUAUGGUGGACUACACCGGCUUUGGGAAACCGGAUAGAUGAAGCCAGGAGGCUCUCCUCAUAACGACUGCUGUUGCUAUGGAUCUUGCUUCAGAAUCAGUGGAAUCAAGGGCAGCUUGGAGUAAUGUUCUGGUGAUAAGUUGGCCCUCUAUGACGAGUGCUUUGUAUUGAUCCUUUUUGUCAUCUGGAAUAAAGUUUAUAAAUUCCGA